GCUGUCAGCGAACAUGUGGACACCGGAAAUACGACAUGUCGCUUCCCGGAAACACGCGGGCUAGUGGCGCGAAAUCACAGGAGCCGCACUGGUGAAGAUGAGCAAGCGGAGGUCAGCGGCUCUCACUGGAGCUCAGGGCGUCUCUCUGGCUCAGAAGCUCCUGCGGGAGAGACUGUGUCAUCAGAAGCUGCCGGAUCAGCCUGUGGGUCUGGACUCCCAGUACAAGCACAUGCUGGAGCUGCUGAGACGUACAGCUGUUCAUGGAGAGAGUAACUCGGUCCUCAUUGUUGGUCCACGAGGAUCCGGUAAAACUAUGCUGCUGGGUUGUGUCCUCCGAGAGCUCAUGAGUCUGAGGGAAGUGCAGAAGAAUGUUCUUCUGGUGGAGCUCAACGGUCUUCUGCAGACAGACGACAAAAUCGCUCUGAAAGAAAUCACUCGCCAGCUGCACCUGGAGAACGUCGUAGGAGACAAAGUCUUUGGGAGCUUUGCAGAGAAUCUGGCUUUUCUCUUAGAAGCUCUCAAGAAAGGUGAUAAGAGCAGCAGUCGUCCCGUGCUGUUCGUGUUGGAUGAGUUCGAUCUGUUCGCUCAUCAUAAGAACCAGACGCUGCUGUAUAACCUGCUGGAUGUGUCUCAGUCUGCGCAGACGCCUGUCGCUGUGGUGGGACUCACCUGCAGACUGGACGUGCUGGAGCUGCUGGAGAAGCGAGUGAAGUCUCGGUUCUCUCACAGACAGAUCCAUCUGUUCAGCUCGCUCUCGUUCAGUCAGUAUGUGGAUGUGGUUCGUGCUCAACUCAGUUUGCCUCCGGACUUUCCAGAUCCCAAAUUCUCAGAUGAGUGGAACCACAGCGUCACGAAAUUAUGUGACGAUAAGACGGUUGAGGAGAUUUUGAGGAGGAACUUUAAUGGCAGUAAAGAUUUCCGCUCUCUGCAUUCGCUGCUGUUUCUGGCUGUCAGUCGAGUGUCUGUCUCUCAUUCGACUCUUCGUGAGGCUGAUCUUAUAGAGGCCUGUCGCUUGAUUUCUGCUGAUUCCAAAGCAAACGUCCUUCACGGUCUGUCUAUUCUAGAGCUGUGUUUGAUUAUUGCUAUGAAGCAUCUGAAUGACACUUAUGACGGAGAACCCUUCAAUUUCCAGAUGGUCCAUAAUGAGUUUAAGAAGUUCAUUCAGAGGAAGUCUCACUCCAUCCAUAAGUUUGAGAAGCCCGUGGUGAUGAAGGCGUUUGAGCAUCUGCUGCAGCUGGAGCUGGUGCGUCCGGUGGACUCUGGUGUGUGUAAAGUUCAGCGCGAGUAUCAGCUGAUGCGGCUGAUGCUGGAACACGGUCAGGUGAUGGAGGCGCUGCAGAAGUACCCACAAUGCCCCACAGACGUCAAACAGUGGGCCCUCUCGGCCUUCGGCUGAACACUGCUGCAUGCUUUACUUGCUGAAAUAUGCAUUUUGUACAUUUAAAUGCAUACUCUUCUGGCCCCUGAAGGAUGUUGUACAACGUUAUUGAAAAGUUAUUUUAGUUAGUUGACAUGACAUUAUAGAAGCCCGUUUCAGCCACAGGAUAAAAAUAUUAAAAAGGUAACUGACUUUUUAUCUCACAAUUCUGACUUUU